UUAGUGGCGGACGGGUGAGUAACACGUGGGAACGUGCCUUUAGGUUCGGAAUAGCUCCUGGAAACGGGUGGUAAUGCCGAAUGUGCCCUUCGGGGGAAAGAUUUAUCGCCUUUAGAGCGGCCCGCGUCUGAUUAGCUUGUUGGUGAGGUAAUGGCUCACCAAGGCGACGAUCAGUAGCUGGUCUGAGAGGAUGACCAGCCACAUUGGGACUGAGACACGGCCCAAACUCCUACGGGAGGCAGCAGUGGGGAAUCUUGCGCAAUGGGCGAAAGCCUGACGCAGCCAUGCCGCGUGGAUGAUGAAGGUCUUAGGAUUGUAAAAUCCUUUCACCGGUGAAGAUAAUGACUGUAGCCGGAGAAGAAGCCCCGGCUAACUUCGUGCCAGCAGCCGCGGUAAUACGAAGGGGGCUAGCGUUGCUCGGAAUUACUGGGCGUAAAGGGAGCGUAGGCGGACAUUUAAGUCAGGGGUGAAAUCCCAGAGCUCAACUCUGGAACUGCCUUUGAUACUGGGUGUCUUGAGUGUGAGAGAGGUAUGUGGAACUCCGAGUGUAGAGGUGAAAUUCGUAGAUAUUCGGAAGAACACCAGUGGCGAAGGCGACAUACUGGCUCAUUACUGACGCUGAGGCUCGAAAGCGUGGGGAGCAAACAGGAUUAGAUACCCUGGUAGUCCACGCCGUAAACGAUGAUUGCUAGUUGUCGGGAAGCUUGCUUC
rnacentral:rRNA from 1 species